UGGUCACAUGGCCUAGAAGGAAGUUAAAAGUUGAAUUUUAGACUCCUGAUUAUGUUAAUCGGAUUUAUUUAAUGUAACAAAUUCAUAUAAAUUAUAUUUAAAUCCACCUAAAUGUGAAGUAUUUCUACUUUCCAUCUGAAAAUGUGUGAUGUCGUACUCAAUAGUCACUUAUAUCUCAUCCGGAAGGGACAAUUACAAGUGUACUAAAAAGGACGUAGAUUAAACUGUAUAUAUGAUGCGGUCUGAAACUUUGAUACAGAAUAGUUUCUGAUUUUUUUUGGAUUAUCACUAAAAUAUAUCCUGUAUAUAGAGUUUCAUUUAUAACAACACAAAAUGGACGAGGAUGAUGAUCAAGACAUAUAUGACGAUGGAACGAGUAUAACAAACAGACGUGCUGUAGGACGUAUAAAGUCCAUCUUUGAACCAGCCAUGCAAGGACCAAAACCUUCAUUACCAUCUAAACCAGCAGCAAAACCACCAACACCAAAACGGUCAGACGUGGCUACAAAUGGAGAUGUCAAUUUCCCACCUAACAAUAAUAAUAUACCAAAGAAAACCAUUGGUGAGAUUGCAAACAAAAAUAGAGAUGUAGUUUCUUCUGUGAAAAAUAGUACUUCUGGGGUACAACUUAAUUCAGAAUUUGUGUCAAGAUUCAACAGUAUUAAAAACAAACCUGGAAUUGACGAUAAACCUAGUCCGAAGCCGCCAUGGCAAAAACAAACGGAUGUGGGUAUAAAACCGCUAGAAAACAAAAAUAUACCAUCACAAGGACUAGCUAGUCGUUUAAAAAAGUUUCAACAGGGUGAUAGUGAAAAUACUGAUGGUAAAGCUGAGCCUGUGAAACCAUUAAUGCCGGAAAAGGUAGACAUUGCAGAGAAGAAGGCUGUGAUCUCUGGAAUGUUUCAACCAAAAUUGCCUUCUCCUGUUAAGUCUGAUAGUAAACCUCCAACCACACCAAUAAAACCCGAGAGUAAACUGCCUCCGCCAACUCCACGGAAACCUAGUACCACGAGUUCUACAGAACACGACAAGAUUAUUUCUCCAAGCAAACCAAAACCAUUUUCUUUUGCCGGACCACCUCCUUCUGCCGGAGGGGAUCCUCAAUCUGAAUUAAUGCGUGCAAUACAAAAACGGAAAGAAAGUAUGGGACAAAAAAGUGAGAAUGAACAAACAGACAGUGAACCUCAGUUGAGAAACAUAAAACGAGGGAAAUCUAUCAAAAGAAAGUCCUUUACAAGAAAUUUAGAUAACAAAAAGUUUUUUCUAGUUGAAAUUUCAAGUUCAGAUAGUCCCAAUAGACCUCCUCCUAAGCCAUUGAAGAUACUGGAUAUAAAUUUGGAUACUAUUGUUUUAGAAUACAAAAAGAACUUUAAGAAGAAAUUUCUGUCUUCAGAGGAGGAAUCCGAGCGACCUCCGUCCGGAGGUUUUGUCGAAAUGGAUGAAGAACUUUAUGAAGAAUUACCGGAUGAUGGUACCGGUGCAGACUUCCCUCCUCCCCCUCCUGAGAUUACACGUCAAUCAACGAAUAGACCUGUAUCCAUGAUACCCCCUAUGACAGAAGACGAAGAAUGUGAUGAAGUUUAUGAUGAUGGAAUUAGUGCUCAAAGUGACGAAGCACCGCCACCCGUUAUUCCGGGUAGACCACCAAGGCGUGGAAACCUUCCUGAACUUCCAUGUAUUCCAAUUCAAGAGGAACCUUUGCCCGAGCCACCCAUACAGCCGGUAUCAACGUCCAAUGUUAUAGAAGCUGAUCCAGAAUCUGAUGGUGAACUGUACGAGCCACUUGACGACGUUAUUACUGAGGUGGCAAAAUUGCAGGAGAAAACUAAUAACAAUACAGUUUCGAAUGAUAAUAAUAAAACAGAACAACUUUCAGAAAAGGAAAGAAAGAAAAAAGAAAAAGAAGAAAAGAAAAAACAAGAAGAGGAAAGGAAAAAACAAGAGAAAAGAGCAAAAGAUUUAAAAAGUAAAUUCAAGAUUGAGCUAAGCGAGCUGGAAGAAUGUAGUACUAAAGGAGCUAUUAAGGAAGAUGCCAAAGGAAAGGGGAAAGACUUAACAGUUACAAAAGACCAAAGAGUUAUAAUUAUAUGUAUGGAUAAAAGAGCCCCAAAAGGAAGAUGGCUAGUCAAAUUAGAGGACAAUGAAGAUACAAUUGGUUAUGUGGACUCGAAUAAUGUCGAGGUAGACAACAAUCUCAUACGUAGUGUGAUGCUAACUUCCCAGAAGCCACAGACAGAGUAAGUAUUAUAGUCUUAUCUCUUGAACUGUUCCAGGUGAUGUUAACUUCCCAGAAGCCACAGACAGACUUUGCUGAGGAUGGAGAAGACUAUGAAGACCUACCAGAACAAGAUGUAUUUUAUUAAAUACAAAAGAGAGGUUUAUGCCGAGGCUUUAUAAGGACACAUCAGUAUUGAGAGGAUUAGAAGCCAUUCACAAAUAAUGAUCUGACUAAACAUUAUUUUGCUUUCUUCAUACUUAUAAUUAUAGAAAAUAUUCCUAUCAUUUGAAAAUGAUAAUUUUCUAUUAUUAAUAUAUUUCUUUCGAAGAUUUAUUAUUACAGUGCCUACCGUUGAUUGUGUGUUUCGGUUAAUCGUUAAUAAAAACCAUUUUAAUUAUAAAAUCAAUGGCAAGCAUCAUUAUCUACGGAAUAUAUUUUUGACAUAAUAGACUUUUUGGGAUCAGUGGAAUAAUUAUCUGAAAUGUGCCAUAAUUUCUUAUUAGAGAUCUGAGAUCUUGCUUAAAAGGUGCUUUUUAUUUGUCAUGGUCAUUAGAUACAAAGUAAGGUUGUAAAUUUCAUUAAUAUUGUGCAAACUGCUAGUUGUUAGAAUGAAAUACACAUAGCUCUAUAUGAAGAAAAGCAGUUUGUGUCCAUAGGUAUUGACACCAAAAUACACAAAUACCCACAUAUAUAAUAAAAGUGACGAAAGUGUGAAAGUGCUUUUUAAUAUUAACAAUAUUCACAUUUUUUUUUUUAAAGAAAUGCAUGCAUUUACUCUCAUUGUGUAUUUGAGUAUAUGAAAUAUCUCAUAAAAUGUAUAUUUAAUCUCAAUAUUUAUUUUUUUCAUUUUUUUUUUAUUAACAGAUAAUAGUAAUAUAAUAAUGAUUUGUGUAAUUAUAUACAUUGUGUAUUUAAAAUGUACACUGUAAAUUGAUUGAAACCAAUAAUAAGCAUGGCUGUAAUGCAAUGAAAAGACUUUAAUAAUCAGAUUUUCAAAAGCCAAAUGGAUAUAAAGCUGAGGAACACAAACAAAAUGAACUCAGCUUUUAUUAUAAAAACUAUUUUAAUUUUAGAAAAAGUUUUAAGUAUUUAAACUAUUUUUUUUUUAAAUCUUCACUCUUUGCUUUCUUCUAUUCCACGAAUAUCCUUUUUUUCAUGCAGUAAAUACAACAGGCGAAUUACUUUUUAAAUUGAGAAUACUUAGUUUGAAAUAUAAUCUGUACCCUUUUCAACACAUGAUACUUGAAUAAGAAAAUGGAAUAGCUUGUCUUUUUUAUGAUGUUAGGGUCUUUACGGGUUCACCCUUCCUUUGGUUCAAAACUGGAUUUCAGUCAAUAAUUUCCAAUUUCUUAAAAAAAAGUUUCGUGAAUUUAUAAAUGAUACGUCAACAUUACAGUAUAGUAAACCAAUUUUGGGACACUGUGUCCUACAUUUUUAUGCUUAAAAUCUUUGAUUUCUCAUGGUACCAGUAAUAAGUUGACUAUAACCUUCAUAUCACGCUUGAAUGACUUUGGUUUGUUUCUUGUUUAGUUUUCCGUAUUUCAGAAGUCAAUGGUAAUUAAAAAGUAUUGACAAUUUUGCCGUAUAAUUGUCUAAAAACUGAUACAUUACGGUCGUUGAUAGGUGUGAGCCAAGGAUCCGUGUUGAAGGCCGUACUUUGACCUAUAAUGGUUUUCUUUUUACACAUUGCAUUGUGACCUGGAUGGAGAGUUGUCUCAUUGACACUCAUACCACAUCUUCUUAUUUACAUUUUAAGUAGUUUCCGUGUUUUCCUGCUUAAUUUUCAGAAGCAAACCCGAAUGAUACCAUCAAGAUAAUAUAAAGUGGUCAAUGAUGUGAAAGUGAAGUAUAACCAUUUGAUGUUAAGCUUCUCGGAGUAUCAACGAUAUUGCAUCAUUAAAUAAUAUAACGGUAUUCAGCGACAAUUAUGUCAUUGUGGACAACAUUUUGCCAAUGGUUAGACGGACGGUGCAUCUGAGGUUUCAGGACUUCCGUUUUCAGACAGAAUAUUUUACACAUUUUACCAUGCUCUUUGGUUUUAUAAAUACCAUAACACAACUGCUCACAAAUACGUAUACCUAUAGAUGAUGUUAAUUUCCAAAUUUCCUUGGUCUCAUUUCUUACAGUUUCAGAAAUGCAGUUCUUCAGACUGAAGUUUAACCCUUCGUUUUAUAUUUUAACCUUAAAAUUGCAAAUAUAUCCUCCUUUCAAUUAUGCAUUAAUUACUAUGUAUGUUGAUAUUCUAGAAGUUGGAACAUUACAUUUGCUACAUCUUUAUAGAUCCCUUAUAUGUGCACACGAUAUUCUGAUAAGGUCUUUACACUCAAAACUGAAAUUACAAACAAUGUUGCAUUAUAACUCAAUAUCUUAACUUGUAUUAUUACGUCUGUAAAUAAUGCUUAUCUAAAGAAAUAAAGUAUAAUUUAACAAAUGCUCAUCAAAGAAAAUGGAAGAUUGUGAUAAGAUUAGUCCAGUAAAUUGCUUCAUUAUAAAAAGCUAGUAUAGAUGCCUCGCUAUGUUACAACAUUCCAAGUGUGUUAUUUUAUUUUUUUUAAAUAAAACUUGCAAAAUGUUAAA